GUAGAGGUCUGGAACUGACCUGGGUGUAGAGGUCUGGAACUGACCUGGGUGUAGAGUGGUGUAGAGGUCUGGAACUGACCUGGGUGUAGAGGUCUGGAACUGACCUGGGUGUAGAGGUGUAGAGGUCUGUGACUGACCUGGGUGUAGAGGUGUAGAGGUCUGUAACUGACCUGGGUGUAGAGGUGUAGAGGUCUGUAACUGACCUGGGUGUAGAGGUGUAGAGGUCUGUAACUGACCUGGGUGUAGAGGUGUAGAGGUCUGUAACUGACCUGGGUGUAGAGGUGUAGAGGUCUGUAA